AGAGUUUGAUCCUGGCUCAGGAUGAACGCUGGCGGCGUGCUUAACACAUGCAAGUCGAACGAACCUUCGGGUGAGUGGCGGACGGGUGAGUAACGCGUGGGAAUCUGCCCUCAGGAGGGGGAUAACGGCUGGAAACGGCCGCUAAUACCCCAUAUGCCGAGAGGUGAAAUGAAUUUCGCCUGAGGAUGAGCCCGCGUCUGAUUAGCUAGUUGGUGAGGUAAGAGCUCACCAAGGCAUCGAUCAGUAGCUGGUCUGAGAGGAUGAUCAGCCACACUGGGACUGAGACACGGCCCAGACUCCUACGGGAGGCAGCAGUGGGGAAUUUUCCGCAAUGGGCGAAAGCCUGACGGAGCAACGCCGCGUGAGGGAUGAAGGCCUCUGGGCUGUAAACCUCUUUUCUCAAGGAAGAAGAUCUGACGGUACUUGAGGAAUAAGCCACGGCUAAUUCCGUGCCAGCAGCCGCGGUAAUACGGGAGUGGCAAGCGUUAUCCGGAAUUAUUGGGCGUAAAGCGUCCGCAGGCGGCCCUUCAAGUCUGCUGUUAAAACGUGGAGCUUAACUCCAUCAUGGCAGUGGAAACUGUUGGGCUCGAGUGUGGUAGGGGCAGAGGGAAUUCCCGGUGUAGCGGUGAAAUGCGUAGAUAUCGGGAAGAACACCAGUGGCGAAGGCGCUCUGCUGGGCCAUAACUGACGCUCAUGGACGAAAGCCAGGGGAGCGAAAGGGAUUAGAUACCCCUGUAGUCCUGGCCGUAAACGAUGAACACUAGGUGUCGGGGGAAUCGACCCCCUCGGUGUCGUAGCCAACGCGUUAAGUGUUCCGCCUGGGGAGUACGCACGCAAGUGUGAAACUCAAAGGAAUUGACGGGGGCCCGCACAAGCGGUGGAGUAUGUGGUUUAAUUCGAUGCAACGCGAAGAACCUUACCAGGGUUUGACAUCCUGCGAACCUCUUGGAAACGAGAGGGUGCCUUCGGGAGCGCAGUGACAGGUGGUGCAUGGCUGUCGUCAGCUCGUGUCGUGAGAUGUUGGGUUAAGUCCCGCAACGAGCGCAACCCACGUCUUUAGUUGCCAGCAUUUAGUUGGGCACUCUAGAGAGACCGCCGGUGAUAAACCGGAGGAAGGUGUGGAUGACGUCAAGUCAUCAUGCCCCUUACAUCCUGGGCUACACACGUACUACAAUGCUACGGACAAAGAGCAGCAAGUUCGCGAGGACAAGCAAAUCUCAUAAACCGUGGCUCAGUUCAGAUCGUAGGCUGCAACUCGCCUACGUGAAGGAGGAAUCGCUAGUAAUCGCAGGUCAGCAUACUGCGGUGAAUACGUUCCCGGGCCUUGUACACACCGCCCGUCACACCAUGGAAGUUGGCCACGCCCGAAGCCGUUACUCCAACCCUUGUGGAGGAGGACGUCGAAGGUGGGGCUGAUGACUGGGGUGAAGUCGUAACAAGGUAGCCGUACCGGAAGGUGCGGCUGGAUCACCUCCUAA
rnacentral:rRNA from 1 species